AUGGACCGCUCGUACACUCCGGUUCUGAGCGCGCCGCCCGCACUCACCUGACGACUGCUCGCUACGUUUUGUCAGCC
rnacentral:sRNA from 1 species